GAAUGCUGACAUAAGUAACGAUAAUGCGGGUGAAAAACCCGCACGCCGGAAGACCAAGGGUUCCUGUCCAACGUUAAUCGGGGCAGGGUGAGUCGACCCCUAAGGCGAGGCUGAAAAGCGUAGUCGAUGGGCAACGGGUUAAUAUUCCCGUACUGGUGGUAACUGCGAAGGGGGGACGGAGAAAGCUAAAUCAUCCGGGCGACGGUUGUCCCGGUUUAAGCGUGCAGGUGGACUGACCAGGCAAAUCCGGUCGGUUGUUAACACUGAGGCGUGACGACGAGCCACUACGGUGGUGAAGUGAUUGAUGCUCUGCUUCCGGGAAAAGCCUCUAAGCUCCAGGUUACCAUUAAUCGUACCCCAAACCGACACAGGUGGUCAGGUAGAGAAUACUCAGGCGCUUGAGAGAACUCGGGUGAAGGAACUAGGCAAAAUGGUGCCGUAACUUCGGGAGAAGGCACGCUGGCAUUAGGUGAAGUGGUUUACCCAUGGAGCUGAAGCCAGCCGCAGAUACCAGCUGGCUGCAACUGUUUAUUAAAAACACAGCACUGUGCAAACACGAAAGUGGACGUAUACGGUGUGACGCCUGCCCGGUGCCGGAAGGUUAAUUGAUGAGGUCAGCCGCAAGGCGAAGCUUCUGAUCGAAGCCCCGGUAAACGGCGGCCGUAACUAUAACGGUCCUAAGGUAGCGAAAUUCCUUGUCGGGUAAGUUCCGACCUGCACGAAUGGCGUAAUGAUGGCCAGGCUGUCUCCACCCGAGACUCAGUGAAAUUGAACUCGCUGUGAAGAUGCAGUGUACCCGCGGCAAGACGGAAAGACCCCGUGAACCUUUACUAUAGCUUGACACUGAACAUUGAGCCUUGAUGUGUAGGAUAGGUGGGAGGCAACGAAGUGUGGACGCCAGUCUGCACGGAGCCAUCCUUGAAAUACCACCCUUUAACGUUUGAUGUUCUAACCCGGGUCCAUAAUCUGGAUCGGGGACCGUGUCUGGUGGGUAGUUUGACUGGGGCGGUCUCCUCCCAAAGAGUAACGGAGGAGCACGAAGGUUGGCUAAGCAUGGUCGGACAUCAUGCGGUUAGUGCAAAGGCAUAAGCCAGCUUGACUGCGAGAGUGACGGCUCGAGCAGGUACGAAAGUAGGUCUUAGUGAUCCGGUGGUUCUGAAUGGAAGGGCCAUCGCUCAACGGAUAAAAGGUACUCCGGGGAUAACAGGCUGAUACCGCCCAAGAGUUCAUAUCGACGGCGGUGUUUGGCACCUCGAUGUCGGCUCAUCACAUCCUGGGGCUGAAGUAGGUCCCAAGGGUAUGGCUGUUCGCCAUUUAAAGUGGUACGCGAGCUGGGUUUAGAACGUCGUGAGACAGUUCGGUCCCUAUCUGCCGUGGGCGCUGGAAGAUUGAGAGGGGUUGCUCCUAGUACGAGAGGACCGGAGUGAACGCACCACUGGUGUACGGGUUGUGAUGCCAAUUGCAUUGCCCGGUAGCUAAGUGCGGAAGAGAUAACCGCUGAAAGCAUCUAAGCGGGAAACUUGCCUCGAGAUGAGUCUUCCCUGACCCUUUAAGGGUCCUGAAGGAACGUUUGAGACUAAGACGUUGAUAGGCUGGGUGUGUAAGCGCAGCGAUGCGUUGAG
rnacentral:rRNA from 1 species